UUUUCCAAAGGAGAUGGCAUGCCUCCCGAAGCAUGUGCUUCGAACCAUCGCGUUCUGACACGUCGUGAUUGAUGAUGCCUGCAACGCC
rnacentral:ncRNA from 1 species